GCAAACUUGGUCAUUUAGAGGAAGUAAAAGUCGUAACAAGGUCUCCGUUGGUGAACCAGCGGAGGGAUCAUUACCGAGUUGCAAAACUCCCAAAACCACUGUGAACAUACCACUGUUGCUUCGGCGGAUCCGCCCCGGGCGCCCUCCCCCUAGGGGGGGUGUGCCCCGGAACCAGGCGCCCGCCGGGGGACCGAAACCUCUGUAACUUUCAGUUGAGUACUCUGAGUGUGAUUUAUACAAUCAAAAUCAAAACUUUCAACAACGGAUCUCUUGGCUCUAGCAUCGAUGAAGAACGCAGC
rnacentral:misc_RNA from 1 species